AUUGAACGCUGGCGGCAGGCCUAACACAUGCAAGUCGAACGGUAACAGGAAGCAGCUUGCUGCUUUGCUGACGAGUGGCGGACGGGUGAGUAAUGUCUGGGAAACUGCCUGAUGGAGGGGGAUAACUACUGGAAACGGAAGCUAGUACCGCAUAACGUCGCAAGACCAAAGAGGGGGACCUUCGGGCCUCUUGCCAUCGGAUGUGCCCAGAUGGGAUUAGCUAGUAGGUGGGGUAACGGCUCACCUAGGCGACGAUCCCUAGCUGGUCUGAGAGGAUGACCAGCCACACUGGAACUGAGACACGGUCCAGACUCCUACGGGAGGCAGCAGUGGGGAAUAUUGCACAAUGGGCGCAAGCCUGAUGCAGCCAUGCCGCGUGUAUGAAGAAGGCCUUCGGGUUGUAAAGUACUUUCAGCGGGGAGGAAGGGAGUAAAGUUAAUACCUUUGCUCAUUGACGUUACCCGCAGAAGAAGCACCGGCUAACUCCGUG
rnacentral:rRNA from 1 species